GUGUUAGGUAAAUGUUUCAUGAUAAUAGGUUAGGUAAAUGUUCCAUGAUAAUUGGUUAGGUAAAUGUUUCAUGAUAAUGGGUUAGGUAAAUGUUUCAUGAUAAGAAUUUCAUGUCUUUUGUAUUAAAGAAUUAAAUGGAUGAAAUAUGAAGUUUUAUUAAAAGAAAAAGUGGUGAAAAGAACAAAGCUUUGUCCAUCUUUGUUCAUCAUAGCUGAAAGUUAGAGAAGAGAAAGGAGAGGAGAAAGCUCUUGAGUAUUUGGUCAUUAGGAGGAGGAAAAUUGAAGGCAGUUCGUGUGUGGAUCUCGUCAGCAUAUCGUCGCAAACAGGUAAUCCCCAACCAUAGUGGGCUUGGAGCUGUGAGGGAAUUCGGAGUGGCCACCCGCUCGAAAGUUUGAUUUUCUUCCGUGAACUGGACAUCCUUUUAAUUACGUUUGAGGUUUUGGGCUUUUAAAUGUAAUAAGGCCGCUUAUUUAUUUUUGAUGGUUUUUAAUAUGUAUUACUAAGAUAGGUAAUACUUAUUUUAACUAUUGAAAUUGGAUAGCUUUAGGGCACGUUUCAAAAACAACAGUUGAUUUCAAAAUAACACGACAACAAGCAAAGCUUCCGCAAUGAAAGUAUUUUCCAAAAUUAAUCACUUUUCCUAAAAAUGACUUAAUCGAAUCGGUUUCCUAGAAAUAUCCAUAACGUUAAGGUGUGGCAAUGGCGGUAUGCAUGUCUAGGAUUGGAUCCGAAGGGAGCUUGGUACUUAAGCAGUCUGAUGGACUCACCACCUCUUUUCCGGUUUCCUACCUGGUGCACAACUUCCAUUCACUUUAACCCUUAAUGAAUUAAUCUUUUGAACAUCAAGUACGAUUUUCUGGACUUAGAAUGGAAAUUUUUUUUAACGUUUUUGAUGUGGCAUGCCGGAUCCGGUCACAACGUCUGGGCCAGGUUUGGGGUGCUACAGUUAAAUUAAAAAAUAAAUAAGAAUAAAAUUAUAAAUAUUAAAAUUGUGAGAGGACCAAUUGGGAAAUUAACCCACUUUACGAAACACGCGGAUCCUCCCUGGGAAAUCGGGUCAACACGCGGAUCCUGAGCUUUGAAACGACGCCAUUUUAUGCUUAUUGAGUUAAACUAAAACGCCAUCGUUUCAUUUGGGCUAUAUAAGCCAAAUUCUGAGCCUUAAGAUUAUUUUGCACCCGAUUUAGAAAAAAAAACGAGAGAAAUCCUUUGAAACUCUUCCCAGCCCUCUGAGCUCUGGCCCUAGGCCGGUUUGCUCCGUUCAUCGGACCUCCAUGGUCAGCCUCACGCGCCGUCACCAACUCCACCACACACGGUGGUCGGGAUCCGAAAAGCUUCGCUUUUCUCGGCGAAUCUAGAAGGUGGCCGCGAGGAUCUUGCUCGAUCACUAAUGUCUUGCGCGCUGAUGGAGCCAAUGCCAGAUCGUAGCGCGAGGAGAUCUGACGAUUAUGGCGUGAUUUGCGCGUCGAUGGUGGCGCGAUGUUUGAUGGAAGAGUCGAGAAAUCACGACGCGCUUGGUGGCGACGAUUGUGCCGUUGAAUCUGCGUAAGAUGAAGGGUCGCGUCGCUUAGAGUGCCCGAAGUUUCCAGAACUUUAUUGCGGCGCUGAGUUCUCAGGAAACCAUAGGGUUCCCUUGUCUGUUUUUACAGCUUUGGGCCUUUUGGGCCCCGUGUAAACCUGGGUCAAGGUGUUGGGUUAUUUUUUGGGUGUAAAUGGGUCCAGUAGGUUUAGGCUGUUUGGAUUUGGGCUUUAGCAUUGUAAACGGACUGUUUAGAAAAUAAAUGGACUUUAUUUUUUUA